GAGAGAAGAGAAGAAGAAGAAGAAGAAGAAGAAAAAGAAAGGUCGACGACGCGCUAAUUACGGUAGAGGCCGUUCUAGUUCUAUUUGCACGGAGUCGCGACAGAAAGUUGUCGACGCUUUUCGAGACCCUGAUCUUAGUGGAUUGACACCACUACAGAGCCUUCCACAGCGGGAAAGGCUAGGGUUCCUGGCGAGGG